CAUUCAAACACCGGUUCCCGAACGAUCACCGAAGUUAAGCAAUAUCGAGCCUGGUCAGUACCUAGAUGGGUAACCGCAUGGAAAUACCAGGUGCUGUAAU